rnacentral:rRNA from 1 species
UACGUAGGGGGCUAGCGUUGUCCGGAAUCAUUGGGCGUAAAGCGCGUGUAGGCGGUCCGGCAAGUCCGCUGUGAAAGUCGAGGGCUCAACCCUCGAAUGCCGGUGGAUACUGUCGGGCUUGAGUACGGGAGAGGCGAGUGGAAUUCCUGGUGUAGCGGUGAAAUGCGCAGAUAUCAGGAGGAACACCGAUUGCGAAGGCAGCUCGCUGGGACGUCACUGACGCUGAGACGCGAAAGCGUGGGGAGCAAACAGG